UACGAAGGGGGGCUAGCGUUGCUCGGAAUUACUGGGCGUAAAGCGUGCGCAGGCGGCUUCUCAAGUCAGGGGUGAAAGCCCAGAGCUCAACUCUGGAAUUGCCUUUGAGACUGAGUGGCUUGAGUACGAGAGAGGUGAGUGGAAUUCCCAGUGUAGAGGUGAAAUUCGUAGAUAUUCGCAAGAACACCAGUGGCGAAGGCGGCUCACUGGCCCGAUACUGACGCUGAGGCACGAAAGCGUGGGGAGCAAACAGG
rnacentral:rRNA from 1 species